CAGCAGACGCGGUAAUACAGAGGGUGCGAGCGUUAAUCGGAUUUACUGGGCGUAAAGCGUGCGUAGGCGGCUUUUUAAGUCGGAUGUGAAAUCCCUGAGCUUAACUUAGGAAUUGCAUUCGAUACUGGGAAGCUAGAGUAUGGGAGAGGAUGGUAGAAUUCCAGGUGUAGCGGUGAAAUGCGUAGAGAUCUGGAGGAAUACCGAUGGCGAAGGCAGCCAUCUGGCCUAAUACUGACGCUGAGGUACGAAAGCAUGGGGAGCAAACAGGAUUAGAUACCCCGGUAGUCCCUGUCUCUUAUAC
rnacentral:rRNA from 1 species